rnacentral:rRNA from 1 species
GAUGAACGCUGACAGAAUGCUUAACACAUGCAAGUCAACUGUGGCGGACGGGUGCGUAACGCGUAAAGAACUUGCCUCACAGCUAGGGACAACAUUUGGAAACGAAUGCUAAUACCUGAUACUGUGAGAGAGCUUUGCGUCCCAUUAGCUAGUUGGAGAGGUAACGGCUCACCAAGGCGAUGAUGGGUAGCCGGCCUGAGAGGGUGAUCGGCAACAAGGGGACUGAGACACGGCCCUUACUCCUGCGGGAGGCAGCAGUUGGGAAGAUUGGACAAUGGACCAAAGUCUGAUCCAGCAAUUCGGUGUGCACGAUGAAGUUUUCGGGAUGUAAAGUGCUUUGAGUUGGGAAGCGGUACCAACAGAAGAAGUGACGGCUAAAUACGUGCCAGCAGCCGCGGUAAUUC